CCGACAACCUUGUAUUUUUUUCCCGGUAGCUACAGUGUUUCCAGUUUCCAGUUUUCAGUUUCAGUUUCCGGCAGCUACAGUGUUUCCAGUUAUCCGGCAGCUGCAGUGUUUCCAGUUUUCAGUUUCCUUCAUCUGUUUCAGCGAGUUUUCAGUUGGUUCUUUCUGAUUAUUUGGUGAUAACCCAACGAUGUCUUUGGGACUCUAUGUUUUGGGUCUAAAAACCCGGGUUCUGGCAGUUCCGGUGUUAUGAUUACCUCAGAACCUUUAAUGGGAGGUUCAAACUACCUAGCUUAGGCUUCGUCUGUCGAGUUA
rnacentral:lncRNA from 1 species